GGGAAACUGGGUAUAAUACCCGAUAGUUCUGGGAAGCUGGAAUGCUUCCAGGACGAAAGCUCCGGCGCCCAAGGAUGGGUCUGCGGCCUAUCAGGUAGUAGUGGGUGUAAUGUACCUACUAGCCUACGACGGGUACGGGUUGUGAGAGCAAGAGCCCGGAGAUGGAUUCUGAGACACGAAUCCAGGCCCUACGGGGUGCAGCAGGCGCGAAAACUUUACAAUGCUGGCAACAGCGAUAAGGGGACCUCGAGUGCCAGGAUACAAUCUUGGCUGUCGUAAUGCCUAAAAAGCAUUUCAUAGCAAGGGCCGGGCAAGACCGGUGCCAGCCGCCGCGGUAACACCGGCGGCUCGAGUGGUAACCGCUAUUAUUGGGUCUAAAGGGUCUGUAGCCGGCCGGAUAAGUCUUUUGGGAAAUCCAGCUGCUCAACAGUUGGGCUUUCAGAAGAUACUGUUCGGCUCGAGACCGGGAGAGGUGAGAGGUACUUCAGGGGUAGGGGUGAAAUCUUGUAAUCCUUGAAGGACCACCAGUGGCGAAGGCGUCUCACCAGAACGGAUCUGACGGCAAGGGACGAAAGCUAGGGGCACGAACCGGAUUAGAUACCCGGGUAGUCCUAGCCGUAAACGAUACUCGCUAGGUGUCAGCCACGGUGCGACCNUGNNUGGUGCCGUAGGGAAGCCGUGAAGCGAGCCACCUGGGAAGUACGGCCGC
rnacentral:rRNA from 1 species